rnacentral:misc_RNA from 1 species
UCCGGCUUAACGCCGGCAGUCUCGCUAGAGUCCCCAGCAUGACCUGAUGGUAACUAACGAUAGGGGUUUCGCUCGUUAAGGGACUUAACCCGACACUUCACAGCACGAGCUGACGACAGCCAUGCAACACCUGUGGAAGUUUCACCCCGAAGGGCAAUCUUCUGAGUUAUCCCCAAAAGACAUCCAACCAUGUCAAACCCGGGUAAGGUUCUUCGCGUUGCUUCGAAUUGAGCCACAUGCUCCACCGCUUGUGUGAGCCCCCGUCAAUUCCUUUGAGUUUUAGCCUUGCGGCCGUACUCCCCAGGCGGCAUACUUAGCACUUUUGCUACGGCGCCGACGGCGUCAGAGCCUCCGGCACCUAGUAUGCAUCGUUUACGGCGUGGACUAC